GGGGUUGUGGCUCAGUGGUAGCGCACUUGCCUAGCAAGCAUGAGGCACUGAGUUCAAUUCUCACCACCACA
rnacentral:tRNA from 1 species